AGUCUUGUGGUCUAGUGGCUAUGAUUUUCGUCUCACAUCAGAUUCUAUGAUUGUGUCCACGAAAGGUCCCGAGUUCGAACCUCGGCGGGACUA